rnacentral:misc_RNA from 1 species
UAAUUAAUUGAUAUUAAUCAUUCUUUUUUCCAAUGUCAAUAUUAUUCUCACAUCUUAAUUAGCCAUAAUUGAGGUAUAUCAAACACAUUAAAAUGAAAAGAAAAAUUUAAAUUAAAAGCCCAAGAAAAUGAAACUAAAAGGAGCUUAUAGUGAUGAUAAUCCCAAGAAAAUCCAUACCAUUGCUGACAUUGAUGGAGAAACUGUCUGUUACUUUAGCAGACAAAGUUUUUUUUAUUUAACACUCACUACUGACCUGAGAAUGGCACGUGACUUUCUUCUUACGUCAUCUAUGAUCAUAUGUUUCUU